rnacentral:rRNA from 1 species
AUUGAACGCUGGCGGCAGGCCUAACACAUGCAAGUCGAACGGUAACAGGAAACAGCUUGCUGUUUCGCUGACGAGUGGCGGACGGGUGAGUAAUGUCUGGGAAACUGCCUGAUGGAGGGGGAUAACUACUGGAAACGGUAGCUAAUACCGCAUAACGUCGCAAGACCAAAGAGGGGGACCUUCGGGCCUCUUGCCAUCGGAUGUGCCCAGAUGGGAUUAGCUAGUAGGUGGGGUAACGGCUCACCUAGGCGACGAUCCCUAGCUGGUCUGAGAGGAUGACAAGCCACACUGGAACUGAGACACGGUCCAGACUCCUACGGGAGGCAGCAGUGGGGAAUAUUGCACAAUGGGAGCAAGCCUGAUGCAGCCAUGCCGCGUGUAUGAAGAAGGCCUUCGGGUUGUAAAGUACUUUCAGCGGGGAGGAAGGGAGUAAAGUUAAUACCUUUGCUCAUUGACGUUACCCGCAGAAGAAGCACCGGCUAACUCCGUGCCAGCCGCCGCGGUAACAC